CGGCACACUUUUGUCGUCUUCAAAAUGUCCCUCCUGAGUCUUACCCACUUGGACCCGAGAGGUGUCAGGAGCAUGGCCAAGCCACUGCCCUGAGCGGAGCUGCCACUAGUAGAAACCCCACACCUGCGCCGUAUGGACGCUAAUUUGACCAGGGAUUUUAGCGUUGAGUUCGUCUCUUGGAUUUGCUCGUUCGUUGUGUUUGUGUGUGUUGGACACUGCAUCAUCAUGUGAGUAAGUUUAUGGGACAUAAACGUGCAGGGAUGCAACUUUCUUCCUUCGGAUUCCUCGACAAGGGUCCACCCCUACCCCAGAAUCUGACGCAUCUACCUCCAUGACAAACAGAUUCAGCAAAGCAAGAAUAAGAACAGAGGUUCCCUAAGAACCCCUGCACUUCCUUGCGAGUCGUGGAAGUGUACCAAUGUGAAACAGCCUCAACCUUGCUGGGAUCCAUACAGAUCCCCACCUCCACCGACACAAAGCCCAGAAACGACAGGGAAGACCA